rnacentral:rRNA from 1 species
GAUGAACGCUGGCGGCGUGCCUAAUACAUGCAAGUCGAGCGAACAGACGAGGAGCUUGCUCCUCUGACGUUAGCGGCGGACGGGUGAGUAACACGUGGAUAACCUACCUAUAAGACUGGGAUAACUUCGGGAAACCGGAGCUAAUACCGGAUAAUAUAUUGAACCGCAUGGUUCAAUAGUGAAAGACGGUUUUGCUGUCACUUAUAGAUGGAUCCGCGCCGCAUUAGCUAGUUGGUAAGGUAACGGCUUACCAAGGCAACGAUGCGUAGCCGACCUGAGAGAGUGAUCGGCCACACUGGAACUGAGACACGGUCCAGACUCCUACGGGAGGCAGCAGGAGGGAAUCUUCCGCAAUGGGCGAAAGCCUGACGGAGCAACGCCGCGUGAGUGAUGAAGGUCUUCGGAUCGUAAAACUCUGUUAUUAGGGAAGAACAAAUGUGUAAGUAACUAUGCACGUCUUGACGGUACCUAAUCAGAAAGCCACGGCUAACUACGU